UGGAGGCAGCAGUGAGGAAUUUUGGACAAUGGGGGCAACCCUGAUCCAGCAAUGCCGCGUGAGUGAAGAAGGCCUUCGGGUUGUAAAGCUCUUUUGUCAGGGAAGAAACGGGAGUGGCUAAUAUCCAUUCCUAAUGACGGUACCUGAAGAAUAAGCACCGGCUAACUACGUGCCAGCAGCCGCGGUAAUACGUAGGGUGCAAGCGUUAAUCGGAAUUACUGGGCGUAAAGCGUGCGCAGGCGGUUUUGUAAGUCUGACGUGAAAUCCCCGGGCUUAACCUGGGAAUUGCGUUGGAGACUGCAAGGCUGGAGUCUGGCAGAGGGGGGUAGAAUUCCACGUGUAGCAGUGAAAUGCGUAGAGAUGUGGAGGAACACCGAUGGCGAAGGCAGCCCCCUGGGUCAAGACUGACGCUCAUGCACGAAAGCGUGGGGAGCAAACAGGAUUAGAUACCCUGGU
rnacentral:rRNA from 1 species